rnacentral:rRNA from 1 species
GAUGAACGCUGGCGGCGUGCCUAAUACAUGCAAGUCGAGCGAAUGGAUUAAGAGCUUGCUCUUAUGAAGUUAGCGGCGGACGGGUGAGUAACACGUGGGUAACCUGCCCAUAAGACUAGGAUAACUCCGGGAAACCGGGGCUAAUACCGGAUAACAUUCUGAACCGCAUGGUUCGAAAUUGAAAGGCGGCUUCGGCUGUCACUUAUGGACGGACCCGCGUCGCAUUAGCUAGUUGGUGAGGUAACGGCUCACCAAGGCAACGAUGCGUAGCCGACCUGAGAGGGUGAUCGGCCACACUGGGACUGAGACACGGCCCAGACUCCUACGGGAGGCAGCAGUAGGGAAUCUUCCGCAAUGGACGAAAGUCUGACGGAGCAACGCCGCGUGAGUGAUGAAGGCUUUCGGGUCGUAAAACUCUGUUGUUAGGGAAGAACAAGUGCUAGUUGAAUAAGCUGGCACCUUGACGGUACCUAACCAGAAAGCCACGGCUAACUACGUGCCAGCCGCCGCCGUAA